rnacentral:lncRNA from 1 species
AAGUUUGUGGCGUAGGCCCAUGCGUUGUUGUUAACUGGAUCUGCAAGGUGGUCAGCGAGGUUUUCCAAUGGACCCUUUCCGGUAACAAUGGCCUGAACAAAGAAUCCGAACAUAGAGAACAUAGCAAGUCUACCGUUCUUGAUCUCCUUUACCUUGAGCUCAGCAAAUGCCUCUGGAUCAUCAGCAAGACCCAAUGGGUCAAAACUGCCCCGGGGUAUAGUGGGUCGACAACUUCACCAAGAGGCCCACCAGCAAUACGGUAUCCCUCAACGGCUCCCAUCAAGACAACUUGGCAAGCCCAGAUGGCCAAGAUGCUCUGUGCAUGAACCAAGCUUGGGUUGCCCAAGUAGUCAAGUCCACCCUCGCUGAAGAUUUGGGAUCCAGCCUUGAACCACACAGCCUCACCAAACUUGACACCGUUACGGGCCAACAGCUCGGGGAAGACACAUCCAAGGGCACCAAGCAUAGCCCAUCUGCAGUGGAUCACCUCGAGUUCUCGGUUCUUGGCAAAGGUUUCUGGAUCUGCUGAAAGUCCACCGGUGUCCCACCCGUAGUCACCAGGGAAUUCACCGGUCAAGUAGCUUGGGGCCUCACCGGAGAAUGGGCCCAAGUACUUAACACGGUCUGGGCCAUACCAUGGGCUGCCAGAUGAGGCAGGCUUGGUGACAGCCUUUCUCACAGAGAUCCUUCCAUUUCCAGUGAUUUCUGAGGCAGAGGGUGAGAGUUUCACUGCCUGUCCAGCAAAAGAAGGGGAAGAAAGAGCCAUUGUAGAAGCUGCCAUGGCUUAUCUCAAGAGAAAGGUAAGUGUUUGAUGGUAUAAAAUAUUGUUGAAGUUGGUUGUAAGGAUGCUGAAGUUAGUUGGGUUCAGAAUGUAUAGGGGUUAAGUAGAGAGAAAAAAUCCUCUUAUCUAGUGCUGUCUAUAGCUAUGAUUUCAUUGGGUAUCAAGAUCCCAUGUAUAGCAAUUAAUGCACUCUUGGCAAUCUCCAAUCCAUCAAUUUUCCAAGAUGUUCACUAAGGGGAACCCAACCAAUUUUGUCUUCCUAUAUGUGGCUGCAAAGCUUGAAAUCUAUUCUAUGAUUUCUUGAGCUUCAAUAUGAUAUCUCUUAUCCAUUGAGAAUUUCUCAAGAUUUUAUCCACCAGGAGUAUAGCUCAUUCAGUGUAGAACUAUGGCUUAGCAUUUCACUAAUUAAAUUGAGGAAAAGCUGAAAUUCAUUUGUAUCAGAUCAUCAAUUACUAAUGUUUGUCAAAAGAUUAACCUGUAAUUGCUUAAUAAGAAAAGGUGGAUCAAGAAUUGAACUUUAUGAGUUCUGAAAUCCUGGACUAGACCUUAAGUAGUAUAUCCUCCGCCUCAAUUUAUGUGACACAAUUGAAAUUUCGCGAGUCUACCAAGUUUUUUUUUGAUGGAAAUAUCUUUGUAUGUCUUUUAAAUAUUUCAAGUUGUUAAUUAUUGAUAGUAGUACUUUUUGUUUUUAGAUGACCGUGGUGUCCCAUACUUGCCACCUCCCACCAACAUGGGAUUUGAACCUAAAACCUUUGAGGUUCUCAACCCACUUCAUUGACCAUUAGACCUUGGGUGCAUUGUGAUUUACAGUAUUGUUUUAAUAGUUUCCAAGUACAUAGAUUUUAUUUCAAAAAACUUAAAACUUUUGUGUCCAAAUUGACUGUUAAAAGUUUGAAUUUUGAAAUUCCUACCGUGCCACAUAACAGAGGGAGUAAUAAAAAGAUUCUGAAUUUGAUGUACAUACAUAUUUAAUGGUUUUUGUAACACAUAUACAUAAUUUGGGCCAAAGCUACUUGGUUCUAUCAAACAGUAUGCUGAAGGCUACCCCUGCACCUGUUAAUAAGUGAUAUGAUUGUAUUUAGUAUUUUUUAUAAUGUUAAUGCAUAGAACUUAAUUUCCUUUGUAGUAAGUUUCAUGUAUAGCUUACUUUUAUCUUCUUCUUACUAUGUCCUUUUGGCUCUGGUCAUUACUAUGUGCCAUGUUUCGAAGGAUGCCUGCCUCUGUUAAAUAAGCCGUCACACAGGCAUGCAAGGAAGGAAGGAAGAGUAUACAAGAAAUUUAUGGAUUUGUUCAAAUAAAAGAUGCUAAUUAAAUUAACGUACACGUAAACCUAAGUAUUAUGACCUGGAAACUCAUAUAGCAGUACUUGCUACAUUCAGACCACAAAAAUAUUGGUUUUCCCUUUUAACUGAAAUGUCAUUGGUCUAGUAGUAAAAUAAUAUGAUGAUCCUCUUUCACUUCUUGACAGAAAAAUGAGUAAUAAUGUAAUAACAUCAUAUCGUUCAACAUUAUUCUUUGCACUCAUUUUGAGUAUUGCUUCUUGAGAAUUAAUUGAAUUCCAUUAGUUCCUCCGGUCUGAAAAAUGUAAGUUUUAGCUUUUAACAGCUUUAUAACUUUUCUAGUUACCAUAUCCCAAUUGUAGCUUCGGUCUUUUUCUGCUAUGCUCUUCUUCGUUUUUCCUUUGGUAUGAAAGUGGCAAUAUAUGAUUCAUGUCUUUGGAAAGUGAAACUCAGAACUAGACCGUCAAUGGAAAAUAACAAACAUUUAUUCUAUUGUCAACUCACUCACAACAACUUUACAAGGCCAUCAAACAAUCAAAUUUUAAGAAUUAUAUUAUGAUAUUCAUUUUCCAGGAACAAAGUUUGUGGCGUAGGCCCAGGCAUUGUUGUUAACCGGAUCUGCUAGAUGGUCAGCAAGGUUCUCCAAUGGACCCUUUCCUGUAACAAUGGCCUGAACAAAGAAUCCAAACAUAGAGAACAUAGCAAGUCUACCGUUCUUGAUCUCCUUUACCUUGAGCUCAGCAAAUGCCUCUGGAUCAUCAGCAAGACCUAAUGGGUCAAAGCUGCCACCGGGAUAGAGUGGGUCGACAACCUCGCCAAGAGGCCCACCAGCAAUACGGUAUCCCUCAACGGCUCCCAUCAAGACAACUUGGCAAGCCCAGAUGGCCAAGAUGCUCUGUGCAUGGACCAAACUUGGGUUGCCCAAGUAGUCAAGUCCACCCUCGCUGAAUAUCUGGGAUCCAGCCUUGAACCACACAGCCUCACCAAACUUGACACCAUUACGGGCCAAGAGCUCGGGGAAAACACAUCCAAGAGCACCAAGCAUAGCCCAUCUGCAGUGGAUCACCUCGAGUUCACGGUUCUUGGCAAAGGUUUCUGGGUCUGCUGAAAGUCCAGCGGUGUCCCACCCGUAGUCACCGGGAAAUUCACCGGUCAAGUAGCUUGGAGACUCACCUGAGAAUGGACCCAAGUACUUGACACGGUCUGGCCCAUACCAUGGGCUGCCAGAUGAGGCUGGCUUGGAGACAGCCUUUCUCAUAGAGAUCCUUCCAUUUCCAGUGAUUUCUGAGGCAGAGGGUGAGAGUUUCACUGCCUGUCCAGCAAAAGAAGGUGAAGAAAGUGCCAUUGUAGAAGCUGCCAUGGCUUAUCAAGAGAAAAGUAAGUGUUUGAUGGUAUGAAAUAUUGUUGAAGUUGGCUGUGAUGAGGUGAAGUUAAUUGCAAUUAAUGCACUCCUGAGAAUCUCCAAUCUAUCAAUUUUCCAAUAUGUUUAUAAAGGGGGACCUAACCAAUUUUGUCCUCCUAUAUGUGGCUGCAAGGCUUGAAAUCUAUUCUAUGAUUUCUUGAGCUUCAAUAUGAUAUCUUUUAUCCAUUGGGAAUUUCUCAAGAUUUUAUCCACCAUGACUAUAGUUCAUUCAGAGUAGAACUAUGUCUUAGUAUUUCACUAAAUAAAUUGAGGAAAAGCUGAAAUUCAUUUGUAUCAUAUUAUCAAUUACAAAUGUUUGUCAAAGAUUAACCUGUAAUUGCUUAAUAAGAAAAGGUGGAUCAAGAUUUGAACUUUAUGAGUUCAGUUCUGAAAUCUAGGACUAGACCUUAAGUAGUAUACCCUCCGUCCCAAUGUAUGUGGCACAAUUGGAAUUUCGAGAGUCAAUCAAAUUUUUCUUUGAUGAAAAUUCUUUGUCUUUUAAAUAUUUCAAGUUGUUAAUUAUUGUGAUUUGUUGUAGUACUUUUUAUUUUUAGAUAACCGUGGUGUGAGGUAUUUGCCACCUCCCACCAACAUGGGAUUUGAACAUAAGACCUUAAUCCACUUCAUGGACCAUUAAGCCAUAACCUUGGGUGCAUUGUGAUUUAUAGUAUUGUUUACAUAGUUUCCAAGUACAUAAACUUUAUUCUUCAAAAAACUUAAAACUUUUUUGUCUAAAUUGAUUGUCAAAGUUUAAAAGUUUGAGUUUCGAAAUUCUGAUUGUGCCACAUAAAUAAAACAGUGGGAGUAGUAAAUAGAUUCUGAAUUUGAUUUAUAUAUCUAUUUAAUGAUUUUUUUAACACAUAUACAUAAUUUGGAUCAAGGCUACUUGGUUCUGUCAAACAGUAUGCUGAAGGCUACGUCUGCCCCUGUCAAAUAAGUGAUCUAAUUUUAUUAAUAUUUUUUAUAAUGCCAAUGCAUAGAACUUAAUUUCCUUUGUAGUAAGUGUCAUGUAUAUCUACUUUUAUCUUCUUCUUACUAUGUCCUUUUGGCUCUGGUCAUUACUAUGUGCCAUGUUUCGAAGGAUGCCUGCCUCUGUUAAAUAAGCCGUCACACAGGAAUGCAAGGAAGGAAGAGUAUACAAGAAAUUUAUGAAUUUGUUCAAAUUAAAGAUGCUAAUUAAAUUAACGUACACGUAAACCUAAGUAUUAUGACCUGGAAACUCAUAUAGUAGUACUUGCCAGUAGGGCUGGGCAUAUUUUGGUUUAAACCGAAAAAACUGAAAAAUCAAAUCGAAAUUUUAAUUUCGAUUUAGUUUUUCGAUUUCUUGGAUCGGUUUUGAUUUUCAAUUUUUGAAAUUCGGUUAAACGGUUUGGUGUUCAUUUUUUCAAAAAACAAAAAAUUUGGAUAAACCGAUUAACCGAAAUUCUAUAAAUAAUUAAUAAUAUAUAUAUAUAUUAUUUAAUAUAUAAUAAAAUAAUAUAAAUAUAUAAUAGCCACCCUAAUAACUAAUAAGUAAUAGCACGCCACAUACAGCUAAAAACAUACAUCAGUCCAAUAUUAGAACAAUCGAUUGAACCAUCGACCGCCAGCGAGAUCGUCGUCUGUACAACGACACUAGAGCGGGCGACCAGACGACCACUGUGGGCUGCAGCCUGCAGCGCCGUCUGUGGUCUUUCCGGCAGCGACCACUCUUCCGAGUUUCGACUGUUUAUGCAAACUUAUGUUAUUUUCGUUUGUACUUCGGGUACACAGAAUCUGUAUAUGCAGAAACAGCAACUUCAACUAAAGUUCAAGUAUAUAAACAAGAACACAAUGAAGUAUAUCAAAUACCCUCAACACAAGAUCAAAAUGACCUUUCCAAGAGGUGUAUUUUAUUUUUCAGAAAAUAGAUGAAACAGAAAUGAAUAAGACCAAGCAGUCCGAAUUCACGGACUUUCCUUAAGGAAUAAUGCCCCUCACUGUAUCCGAGGUUAUGGAAUCUUCCUCCCAGGAUAAAAUGGCCUUCAAUCCGACUAUAGCGGUACCUCAAAUAAGCGGAUUCUUCAAACACACAGAACGCUUUGAUUGAUCACACAGAAUAUUUGUAAAGAAAAGAAGAGAGUUUUUAUUCUGCAAAAUUUUUAUAUCAAAACCUGUAAAGGUAAGCAGGUUUAUAUAGCCUAGCAAAUGCCUCUUCGAAAAGGUGGCAUUGGUUCACUUAAAUGGUGUGAUAUUUCUGAAAAUGCAUGUCUGCAACAUUUUUGCUGAAGCAGUAUACCAUUUCACCAAACAGUGCACCUGUUCGAAACAGUACAUCACUUCAUUGAAGAAUUGUAUCUGUUCAGUCGAAGCAAAAAUAGUAUAUCAGUUCAGUGCAUGCAUCAGUUCAGUCAAAACGAAACAGUACAUCAGUUCAGUCAAAACAGUGCAUCAUUUCUGUUGAAACAUUGCAUCUAUUACAGUUACUACAUGUAUUUCGUUAAAUAAAGUUUGUCCAAAAAAGAUAGAUCUCAUCGAUCUAUCAUUUUCCAAAUUCGAAUCCAAAUUCGAAGCCGAGAGAGCGACGACGACGACGGCACGAGGCAUCUCUUAUUUCUUGCCUCACUUAUCAUGUGGAGUAAGUAUUCAUCAUUAUAAACACUCCAAAGUUCCCUUCUCCCAUAAAUGUGGGAGAAUUAGUGAACUUUUUAAUUUUGGGAGUAUACUUUCCAAAUUGGUGUCUCCUCUUCUCCACCAUUUUUUUCUCUAUUUUCCAUUCACACUUUUAUGAAACUAACAAUCCCCCACAUGAAUGGGGAAUGGCUAUUUUUUGUAAAAAUUUUACGGACAAGAAUAUGAUCAUCAAGCAAAGACUGAUUUCAUCUGGAUAAGUGGGUUUCCCUUUGAACUUUCCGUAGUGAACAUGCAUCAGAUGCACUCGGUAAAUUGAUAGAUUUGAUAUCUUUGAACCGUCGAGCUUUAAUGUACACCUAGACAACACAUAUCACACAACCAUCCUUUUAACAUUUAUGGUUCUUACAAUUUUGUUCUUUUCAUCCAUGAACACGUCCCGGUUUUCAUGAGGGCUUAGAGAAUAGGCCUUUACUAACAUUCUCCUUGAAGCGGCUUUCACUUCACCCUUACAUAGGUGAUUUCUAAACGUUCUAUCCUGCAGAUUAAAAUAUUUGGUCAAAUCUGCCAAAUUUAGAUAAUCAUUAAAAGACUUUUCACCUUAAGUUUUAUCCUAGUUUACUAUACAUUAUCUACAUCAUGAGAAUGGGUUGGGUAAUUGACAAUGUUGAACCUGUCAGACACAACUUUGUUUGAUCUCCUUUAACCUAGUUGGGAUCGCCAGUCUGCUAGGUAGAGUUAUCGCUAUGCUGACUCGUCCUAGGCCUUAAACCCAUUCUCUUGGAUGUUCUUUCCACUCCUUCUCUAGAUAGGCCUUUUGUAAGUGGAUCCGACACAUUAUCAUUUGACUUUACAUAGUCAAUAAUGAUAAUUCCACUAGAGAGAAUUUCCCUAACGGUAUUAUGUCUCCGUCGUACGUGACGAGAUUUACGGUUGUACAUCAUGCUCCCUGCCCUACCUAUUGCCGCUUGGCUAUCAUAGUGUAUACAUACUGGUGCCACUGGUUUGGGCCAAUACAAAAUAUCUCCCAAGAAAUUUCGGAGCCAUUCUGCUUCUUCACCAGCUUUAUCUAAUGCGAUAAAUUCAGAUUCCAUUGUAGAGCGAGUGAUACAAGUCUGUUUGGAUGAUUUCCAAGAAAUUGCUCCUCCACCGAUAGUAAAUACAUAUCCACUUGUGGAUUUUACUUCGUUCGAUCCGGUGAUCCAAUUUGUAUCACUAUGUCCUUCAAGUACCGCAGGAUAUUUAUUAUAAUGCAAAGCAUAGUUUUGAAUGUAUUUUAAGAUACCCCAAAACUCUUUUCAUUGCCAUCCAAUGAGUUUUGUUGGGAUUACACCUGUACCGACUCAAUUUUGUAGUUGCACAUGCUAUGUCCGGUUGUGUACAGUUCAUUAUAUACAUUAAAAAUCCCAAUACUCUUGCGUACUCCAAUUGUGAAUCACUUUCACCUUCAUUCUUUCGAAGUGCAAAGUUCACGUCCAAUGGAGUCAUGGCAAUACCGAAUUCCAUAUCCUUGAACUUGUCAAGUACUUUUUCGAUAUAAUGAGACUGUGACAAUGCUAACCCUUGUGGAUUUUGAUGGAUUCUUAUACCUAAGAUUACAUCUGCAACUCCAAGGUCUUUCAUAUCAAACUUGCUCUCGAGCAUUCGUUUGAUUGCAUUUAUGUCACAAAUAUAUCUGCUGAUGAUCAACAUAUCAUCCACAUAUAAACAAACAAUGACUUGGUGAUUUGGUGUGUCUUUAAUAUAUAAACAUUUGUCACAUUCAUUUAUCUUGAAUCCAUUUGCCAACAUGGUUUGGUCAAACUUUGCAUAUCAUUGCUUAGGUGCUUGUUUUAGUCCAUAAAGUGACUUAACAAGUUUACACACCUUAUUUUCUUUUCCUGGCACCACAAAACCCUCAGGUUGUUCCAUGUAUAUUUCUUCCUCCAAAUCUCCAUUUAGGAAUGCGUUCUUCACAUCUAUUUGAUGGAUUUGAAAAUCAUAUACCACCACCAAGCCAAUUAACAUUCAAAUCGAGGUUAUCCUUGUUACUGGUGAGUAUGUAUCAAAGUAAUCAAGGCCUUCCUUCUGUUUGAAGCCUUUUACUAUAAGUCUUGCCUUGUAUUUGUCAAUUGUACUAUCUGCCUUCAUUUUUCUUUUGAAGAUCCAUUUAGAACCUAACGGUUUAUUUCCUGGAGAAAGGUCAACCAAUUUCCAUGUAUGGUUGCUUAAGAUUGAAUCUAUCUCACUAUUGACUGCCUCUUUCCAAAAGGAUGAGUCUGACGAUGGCAUCGCUUCUUUAAAUAUUUGAGGCUUAUUUUCUUAGAGAAAUGUUACAAAAUCUGAUCCAAAUGAAGUUGACAUUCUUUGAUGUGUACUAUGUCUUGGAUUUUCUUCAUUAUGUACAUUCUCACUUGGUUCAUCUCGAGGUCGCUUAGAUCCUCCACUAAACUGUUCAUGUCUAAUUUUAUACGGGUAAAUAUUUUUAAAGAAUUCAGCAUUGUCUGAUUCAAUAAUUGUAUUUUCAUUAAUAUCCGAAUGUUUGAAUUUAUGAACCAAAAAUCGACAUGCUUUACUACUUUUAGCAUAUCCUAUGAACACACAGUCCACUGUUUUAGGUCCUAUCUUAACCCUUUUAGGUACAGGAACUUGAACCUUCACUAGACACCCCCACACUUUGAAAUAUUCAAGCUGGGUUUCCUUCUUUUCCAUUUUUCGUAAGGAAUUGAUUGUGUCUUACUAUGGAAAACUCUGUUGAGUAUACGAUUGGCCAUAAGAAUAGCCUCCCAUCAUAAGUUUUGUGGUAAAGCAGAACUUAUAAGUAAGGCAUUCAUCAUUUCCUUCAAAUUUCGUUUUUUCCUUUCCGCAAUUCCAUUAGAUUGAGGUGAAUAUGGGGCCGUAGAUUGAUGGAUUAUUCCAUUCUCUACACAUAUUUGCGCAAAGGGAGAUUUAUAUUCUCCGCCCCUAUCACUUCUUAUCAUUUUGAUCUUUUUNNNNNNNNNNNNNNNNNNNNNNNNNNNNNNNNNNNNNNNNNNNNNNNNNNNNNNNNNNNNNNNNNNNNNNNNNNNNNNNNNNNNNNNNNNNNNNNNNNNNNNNNNNNNNNNNNNNNNNUAAACGCAUCUAUUGCUUCAUCCUUACUAUUUAUCGAGUAGACAUAACAGUAUCUAGUGCAAUCGUCAAUAAAAGUUAUGAAAUAUUUUUUCCCACCACGAGAUGGUGUUGACGUUAUAUCACAAAUGUCAGUGUGUAUUAAGUCUAAGGGAUUGGAAUUCCUUUCAACGGACUUAUAAGGAUGCUUUGCAUACUUCGAUUCCACACACGUUUGACACUUUGAUUUAUUGCACUCAAAGUUUGGCAAAACUUCUAAGCUAAUCAGUUUUCAUAACGUUUUAUAAUUAACAUGGCCUAAACAUUCAUGCCAUAAUAAGACUCAAGAAAAUAAGAAGAAUUCAAACUUUUAUUUAUUUCAACAGUCAUUACAUUCAUCUUAUAAAGUCCUUCGGUCAAAUAGCCUUUUCCUACAUACAUUUAUCCUUUGCUAAUUACAAUUUUUUCAGAAACGGUUACACAUUUGAAUCCGUUCUUGUCUAGAAGUGAAACAGAAAUUAAAUUCCUACGUAAAUACGGAACAUACAAGACAUUGUUAAGUGUCAAGACCUUUCCGGAAGUCAUAUUUAAGAAAAUUUUUCCUAUUCUUUCUACCUUAGCCGUAGCGGAGUUAGCCAUGUAGAUCAUUUCUUCUACUUGAGCAGAAGCAAAUAACGAAAACAGCUCCUUGUUGGCACAUACAUGGCGGGUGGCACCAGAAUCCAUCCACCCUUCACUAGGAUUCCCCGUCAAGUUGCAUUCUGAGAACAUAGCACACAGAUCAUCGAAUUCUUUGUUGGAUUCAAUCAUAUUUGCUUGAUCCUUCUUCUUUCCUUUCUUUGGGGCACGACAAUCUGUGGACUUGUGGCCAAUCUUGCCACAGUUGAAGCAUUUUCCCUUGAACUUUUUCUUGGUUUGAUUGCUUCCUUGUUUAGCUUUCUUCCUUUUCUUGAAAUUGUUUUGGUCAUCUUCUACAAUAUGUGCUCCAUUAAUUGUAGAAUUCCUCUUUGACCUUCUUUCGGAAGCUUUAUUAUCCUCUUCAAUACGAAGUCGGACAAAAAGUUCUUCAACAGUCAUCUCCUUGCGUUUAUGCUUUAAGUAGUUUUUGAAGUCUUUCCACAAAGGUGGUAGCUUCUCAACUAUCACUGCUACUUGGAAAUCAUCAUUCACAAUUAAACCUACAAUACAGUUUAUGUGAGUAUUAAGAACAUUUUUAAUUUGUUCAACUAAGGUAUUUUUCAAAGAUAUACCUUCUGCUAAGAGAUCAUGUAUGAUGACUUGCAACUCCUNNNNNNNNNNNNNNNNNNNNNNNNNNNNNNNNNNNNNNNNNNNNNNNNNNNNNNNNNNNNNNNNNNNNNNNNNNNNNNNNNNNNNNNNNNNNNNNNNNNNNNNNNNNNNNNNNNNNNNNNNNNNNNNNNNNNNNNNNNNNNNNNNNNNNNNNNNNNNNNNNNNNNNNNNNNNNNNNNNNNNNNNNNNNNNNNNNNNNNNNACAUAAAGUGGUGAGGUAAAAGAACAUCUUUUGCUGCCACCGCUUGAAGUCAAUGCUUGAAAAUAUUUUGGGCUACUCCGUCAGUGCCAUUGUUGGCGGAGCAUUUGUGUGACUUGAUGUGGCAAUAUUAGUUACCCCCAUAGACGUUGUCGCAUCUAUUAUUUCACUUUCGUUAGUCAUCUUUCCUGUCAACACAAGACAGAAAAAUUUAGUAUUUUCAGAAUAUUACUUAUAAAGUUAAAUAACUUUUCAACUUUUCUUCUUGUUUCUAAUUAACGACGAAGCUUUUAUAACUUCAAAUCGUCAACUGAGUGAACUUUAACUUGUGAUGAAGAUUUUAUGUCUUCUAAUCACUAGUUAAAUUCAAGCGGAGUAAAAAGUUUAAAGCUUUAAUCUCCAAAAACAAGUUAUACAGAUUCUGUAAAAGGAAUUAUUCCUUAAGAUUCUUAUUUUUGUUUUACUUUGGGUACACAGAAUUUGUAUAUGCAGAAACAACAACUUCAACUAAAGUUCAAGUUUAUAAACAAGAACACAAUGAAGUAUAUCAAAUACCCUCAACACAAGAUCAAAAUGACCUUUCCAAGAGGUAUAUUUUAUUUUUUAGAAAAUAGAUGAAACAGAAAUGAAUAAGACCAAGUCGUCCGAAUUCAUGGACUUUUCUUAAGGAUUAAUUCCCCUCACUGUAUCCGAGGUUAUGGAAUCUUCCUCCCAGGAUAAAAUGGCCUUCAAUCCGACUAUAGCGGUACCUCAAAUAGGCGGAUUCUUCGAACACACAGAACGUUUUGAUUGAUCACACAGAAUCUUUGUAAAGAAAAGAAGAGAGUUUUUAUUCUGAAAAUUUUUUAUAUCAAAACCUGUGAAGAAAAGCAUGUUUAUAUAGCCUAGCAGAUGCCUCUUCAAAAAGGUGGCAUUUGUUCACUUAAAUGGUGUGAUGUUUCUGAAAAUGCAUGUCUGCAGCACUUUUACUGAAGCAGUAUACCAUUUCACCAAAUAGUGCACCUGUUCAAAAUAGUACAUCACUUCAUUAAAGAAUUGCAUCUGUUCAGUCGAAGCAAAAACAGUAUAUCAGUUCAGUGCAUGCAUCUGUUCAGUCGAAAAGAAAUAGUACAUCAGUUUAGUCAAAAUAGUGCAUCAAUUCUGUCGAAACAUUGCAUCUGUUACUAUUACUAAAUGCAUAUAAAUGGAGUAUUUAUCAGAUUUCAUCAAAUAAAAUUUAUCCAAAAAGACAGAUAUCAUCGAUCGAUCAUUUUCCAAAUCCAAAUCCAAAUCUGAAGUCGAGCGACCGACGACAACAGUGGCGCGAGGAAUCUCUUAUUUCUUGCCUCACUUAUCAUGUGGAGUAAGUAUUCAGCAUUAUAAACACUCCAAAGUUUCUUUCUCCCACCAAUGUGGGAGAAUUAGUGAACUUUCCAAUUUUGGGAGUACACUUUCCAAAUUGGUGUCUCCUCUUCUCCAUAAUUUUUUUCUCCAUUUUCCAUUCACACUUCUAUGAACCCAACAAUCCCCCAUAUGAAUGGGGAAUAUAUAUUUUUCGUAAAACUUUUACGGACAAGAAUGUGAUCAUCAAGCAAAGACUGAUUCCAUCUGGAUAAGUGGGUUUCCCUUUGAACUUUCCGUAGUGAACAUGCAUCGGAUGCACUCGGUCAAUUGGUAGAUUUGAUAUCUUUGAACCGUUGAGCUUUAAUGUACACCUAGAUAACACAUGUCACACAACCAUCCUUUAACGUUUAUGGUUCUAACAAUUUUAUUCUUUUCAGUCAUGAACACGUCCCGGUUUUCAUGAGAGCUUAGAGAAUAGGCCUUUACUAAUAUUCGCCUUGAAGCAGCUUCCACUUCGCCCUCACAUAAGUGAUUUCUAAACGUUCAAUCCUGUAGAUUAAACUAUUUGGUCAAAUCUGUCAAAUUUAGAUAAUCAUUAAAAGACUUUUCACCUUAAGUCUUAUCCUAGUUUACUAUACAUUGUCUACAUCAUGAGAAUGGGUUGGGUAAUUGACAAUGUUGAACCUGUCAGACACGACUUUGUUUGAUCUCCUUGAACCUAGCUCUUGGGAUCUCCAGUCUGCUAGAUAGAGUUACCGCCACGUUGACUCAUCCUAGGCCUUAAACCCAUUCCCUUGGAUGUUCUUUCCACUCCUUAUCUAGAUAGGCCUUUUGUAAGUGGAUCCAACACAUUAUCCUUUAACUUUACAUAGUUAAUAGUGAUAAUUCCACUAGAGAGAAUUUCCCCAACGGUAUUAUGUCUCCGUCGUAUGUGAUGAGAUUUAUGGUUGUACAUCAUGCUCCCUGCCCUACCUAUUGCCGCUUGGCUAUCACAGUGUAUACAUACUGGUGCCACUGGCUUGGGCCAAUACAAAAUAUCUCCCAAGAAAUUUCGGAGCCAUUCUGCUUCUUCACCAGCUUUAUCUAAUGCGAUAAAUUCAGAUUCCAUUGUAGAGCGAGUGAUACAAGUCUGUUUGGAUGAUUUCCAAGAAACUGCUCCUCCACCGAUAGUAAAUACAUAUCCACUUAUAGAUUUUACUUCGUUUGAUCCGGUGAUCCGAUUUGCAUCACUAUGUCCUUCAAGUACCGCAGGAUAUUUAUUAUAAUACAAAACAUAGUUUUGAAUGUAUUUAAGAUACCCCAAAACUCUUUUCAUUUUCAUCCAAUGAGUUUUGUUGGGAUUACUCCUAUACCGACUUAAUUUACUAAUUGCACAUGCUAUGUCUGGUCGUGUAUAGUUCAUUAUAUACAUUAAACAUCCCAAUACUCUUGCAUAUUCCAAUUAUGAGUCAUUUUCACCUUCAUUCUUUUGAAGUGCAAAGUUCACAUCCAAUGGAGUCUUGACAAUACCGAAUUCCAUAUCCUUGAACUUGUCAAGUAAUUUUUUGAUAUAAUGAGACUAUAACAAUGCUAACCUUUGUGGAUUUUGAUGGAUUCUUAUACCUAAGAUCACAUCUGUAACUCUAAGGUCUUUCUUAUCAAACUUGCUCUAGGGCAUUCGUUUGGUUGCAUUUAUGUCACAAAUAUCUCUGCUGAUGAUCAACAUAUCAUCCACAUAUAAACAAACAAUGACUUGGUGAUUUGGUGUGUCUUUAAUAUAUAAACAUUUGUCACAUUCAUUUAUCUUGAAUCCGUUCGCCAACAUGAUUUGGUCAAACUUUGCAUGCCAUUGCUUAGGUGUUUGUUUUAGUCCAUAAAGUGACUUAACAAGUUUACAUACCUUAUUUUUUUUUUCUGAAACCAUAAAACCUUCAGGUUGUUCCAUGUAUAUUUCUUCCUCCAAAUCUCCAUUUAGGAAUGCGGUCUUUACAUCCAUUUAAUAGAUUUGAAGAUCAUAUACCGCCGCCAAGGCAAUUAACAUUCGAAUCAAGGUUAUCCUUGUUACUGGUGAGUAUGUAUCAAAGUAAUCAAGGCUUUCUCUUUCUGUUUGAAGCCUUUUACUACAAGUCUUGCCUUGUAUUUGUCAAUAGUACCAUCCGCCUUCAUUUUCCUUUGGAAGAUCCAUUUAGAACCUAACGGUUUAUUUUCGGGAAGAAGGUCAACCAAUUUCUAUGUAUGGUUGCUUAAGAUUGAAUCUAUCUCACUAUUGACUGCCUCUUUCCAAAAGAAUGAGUCUGACGAUGGCAUCGCUUCUUUAAAUGUUUGAGGCUUAUUUUCUUAGAGAAAUGUUACAAAAUCUGAUCCAAAUGAAGUUGACGUUCUUUGACGUGUACUACGUCUUGGAUUUUCUUCAUUAUGUACAUUCUCACUUGGUUCAUCUCGAGGUCGUUUAGAUCCUUCACUAGACUGUUCAUGUCUAAUUUAUACGAAUAAAUAUUUUUAAAGAAUUCAGCAUUAUCUGAUUCAAUUAUCGUAUUUUCAUUAAUAUCCGGAUGUUUGGAUUUAUGAACCAUAAAUUGACAUGCUUUACUAUAUUUAGCAUAUCCUAUGAACACACAGUCUACCAUUUUAGGUCCUAUCUUAAUCCUUUUAGGUAUAGGAACUUGAACCUUCGCUAGACACCCCCACACUUUAAAAUAUUCAAGUUGGGUUUCCUUCCUUUCCAUUUUUUUUAAGGAAUUGAUUGUGUCUUACUAUGAGGAACUCUGUUGAGUACACGAUUGGCCAUAAGGAUAGCCUCCCAUCAUAAGUUUUGUGGUAAACCAGAACUUAUAAGUAAAGCAUUUAUCAUUUCCUUCAAAGUUUGGUUUUUCCUUUCCGCAAUUCCAUUAGAUUGAGGUGAAUAUAGGACCAUAGUUUGAUGGAUUAUUCCAUUCUCUACACAUAUUUGCGCAAAGGGAGAUUCAUAUUCUCCGCCCCUAUCACUUUUUAUUAUUUUGAUCUUUUUGUCUAAAUGAUUUUCAACUUCAGUUUUAAUUGCCUAAAUGCAUCUAUUUCUUCAUCCUUACUAUUUAGCAAGUAGACAUAACAAUAUCUAGUGCAAUCGUCAAUACAAGUUAUGAAACAUUUUUUCCCACCACGUAAUGGUGUUGACUUCAUAUCACAAAUGUCAGUGUGUAUUAAGUCUAAGGGAUUAGAAUUUCUUUCAACGAACUUAUAAGGAUGCUUUGCAUACUUUGAUUCCACACACGUUUAACACUUUGAUUUAUUACACUCAAAGUUUGGCAAAACUUCUAAGUUAAUCAAUUUUCGUAACGUUUUGUAAUUAGCAUGGCCUAAACGUUCAUUCCAUAAAUCAUAACACUCAAGCAAAUAAGAAGAAUUCAAACUUUUAUUUAUUUCAACAGUCAUUACACUCAUAUUAUAAAGGCCUUCGGUCAGAUAGCCUUUUCCUACAUACAUUUCUCCUUUGCUCAUUACAAUUUCUCCAUAAAUGGUUACACAUUUGAAUUCGUUCUUCUCUAGAAGUUAAACAGAAAUUAAAUUCCUACGUAAAUACGGAACAUACAAGACAUUGUUAAGUGUCAAGACCUUUCCGAAAGUCAUAUUUAAUCAAAUUUUUCCUAUUCUUUCUACCUUAGCCGUAGCGGAGUUAGCCAUGUAGGGAGCGAAUGACGAAAACAACUCCUUGUUGGCACAUACAUGGCGGGUGGCACCAGAAUCCAUUCACCAUUCGCAAAGAUUCCCCAUCGAGUUGCAUUCUGAGAACAUAGCACACAGAUCAUCGCAUUCUUUAUUGGAUUCAAUCAUAUUUGCUUGAUCCUUCUUCUUGCCUUUCUUUGGGGCACGACAAUCUGUGGACUUGUGGCCAAUCUUGUCACGGUUGAAGCAUUUUCCCUUGAACUUUUUCUUAGGUUGAUUGCUUCCUUAUUCAGCUUUCUUCCUUUUCCUGAAAGUAUUUUAGUCAUCUUCUACAAUAUGUGCUCCAUUAAUUGUAGAAUUCCUCUUUGACCUUCUUUCGGCAGCUUUAUUAUCCUCUUCAAUACGAAGUUGGACAAUAAGAUCUUCAAUAGUCAUCUCUUUGCGUUUAUGCUUUAAGUAGUUUUUGAAGUCUUUCCACAAAGGUUGUAGUUUCUCAAAUAUCAUUGCUACUUGAAAAGCAUCAUUCACAAUUAAACCUACAAAAUAGUUUAUGUGAGUAUUAAGAACAUUUUUAGUUUGUUCAACUAAGGUAUUUUUCAAAGAUAUACCUUCUGCUAAGAGAUCAUGUAUGAUGACGUGCAACUCCUGUACUUGAGAGACAAAAGAUUUGCUAUCUAUUAUUUUGAAGUCCAAGAACUGUGCAACAAGAAAUUUUUUAAUUCCCGCAUCCUCCGUCUUAUAUUUUCGUUCAAGCGCCCCCCACAGUUCCUUUGAUGUCUUGGUUCCACUAUAAACAUUGUAGAGGUCGUCUUGGAAACUACUCAAAAUAUAAUUCCUGCAAAGAAAGUCCGAAUGUUUCCAAGCUUCUACAAUAACGAAGCGUUCUUUGUCCGAGGUUCCCUCGGGCACCUCAGGAGCGUCUUCGCUAGUGAACCAUUGCAAACAUAAAGUGGUGAGGUAAAAGAACAUCUUUUGCUGCCACCGCUUGAAGUCAAUGCUUGAAAAUAUUUUGGGCUACUCCGUUGGUGCCAUUGUUGGCGGAGCAUUUGUGUGACUUGAUGUGGCAAUAUUAGUUACCCCCAUAGACGUUGUCGCAUCUAUUAUUUCACUUUCGUUAGUCAUCUUUCCUGUCAACACAAGACAGAAAAAUUUAGUAUUUUCAGAAUACUACUUAUAAAGUUAAAUAACUUUUUAACUUUUCUUCUUGUUUCUAAUUAACACUGAAGUUUUUAUAACUUCAAAUCGUCAACUGAGUGAACUUUAACUUGUGAUGAAGAUUUUAUGUCUUCUAAUCACUAGUUAAAUUCAAGCGGAGUAAAAAGUUUAAAGCUUUAAGCUCCAAAAACAAGUUAUACAGAUACUAUAAAAGGAAUUAUUCCUUAAGAUUCUUAUUUUCGUUUAUACUUCGGGUACACAGAAUCUGUAUAUGCAGAAACAACAACUUCAACUAAAGUUCAAGUAUAUAAACAAGAACACAAUGAAGUAUAUCAAAUACCCUCAACACAAGAUCAAAAUGAUCUUUCCAAGAGGUAUAUUUUAUUUUUCAGAAAAUAGAUGAAAGAGAAAUGAAUAAGACCAAGUCGUCCAAAUUCACGGACUUUACUUAAGGAAUAAUUUCCCUCAUUGUACUCGAGGUUAUGGAAUCUUCCUCCCAGGAUAAAACGGCCUUCAAUCCUACUAUAGCGGUACCUCAAAUAGGCGGAUUCUUUGAACGCACAGAACGUUUUGAUUGAUCACACAGAAUAUUUGUAAAUAAAAGAAGAGAGUUAUUAUUUUGAAAAUUUUUAUAUCAAAACCUGUGAAGGAAAGCAUGUUUAUAUAGCCUAGCAGAUGCCUCUUCGAAAAGGUGGCAUUUGUUCACUUAAAUGGUGUGAUGUUUCUGAAAAUGCAUGUCUGCAGCACUUUUGCUGAAGCAGUAUACCAUUUCACCAAAUAGUGCACCUGUUCAAAAUAGUACAUCACUUCAUUAAAGAAUUGCAUCUGUUCAGUCGAAGCAAAAACAGUAUAUCAGUUCAGUGCAUGCAUCUGUUCAGUCGAAAAGAAAUAGUACAUCAGUUCAGUUGAAAUAAUGCAUCAGUUUUGUCGAAACAUUGUAUCUGUUACUGUUACUAAAUGCAUAUAAAUGGAGUAUUGAUCAGAUUUCAUCAAAUAAAGUUUGUCCAAAAAGAUAGAUCUCAUUGAUCGAUCAUUUGACAAAUCCAAAUCCAAAUCCGAAGCUGAAGCCGAGCGAACGAUGACGAUGACGACGCGAGGCAUCUCUUAUCAUGUGAAGUAAGUAUUCAUCAUUAUAAACACUCUAAAUUUUCCUUCUCCCACCAAUGUGUGAGAAUUAGUGAACUUUUUAAUUUUGGGAGUACACUUUCCAAAUUGGUGUCUCCUCUUCUCCACCAUUUUUUUCUCUAUUUUCCAUCCACACUUCUAUGAACCCAACAAUCCCCCACAUGAAUGGGGAAUGACUAUUUUUCAUAAAUCUUUUAUGGACAAGCAUGUGAUCAUCAAGCAAAAACUAAUUCCAUCUGGAUAAGUGGGUUUUCCUUUGAACUUUCCGUAGUGAACAUGCAUCGGAUGCACUCGGUCAAUCGGUAGAUUUGAUAUCUUUGAAUCUUCGAGCUUUAAUGUACACCUAGACAACACAUAUCACACAACCAUCCUUUUAACAUUUAUGGUUCUUACAAUUUUGUUCUUUUCAGCCAUGAACACGUCCCGAUUUUCAUGAGAGCUUAGAGAAUUGGCUUUUACUAACAUUCUCAUUGAAGCAUCAUCCACUUCGCCCUCACAUAGGUGAUUUCUAAAUGUUCAAUUCUGUAGAUUAAACUAUUUGGUAAAAUCUGUCAAAUUUAGAUAAUCAUUAAAAGACUUUUUACCUUAAGUCUUAUCCUAGUUUACUAUACAUUGUCUACAUCAUGAGAAUGGGUUGGGUAAUUGACAAUGUUGAACCUGUCAGACACAACUUUGUUUGAUCUCCUUGAACUUAGCUCUUGGGAUCUCCAGUCUGCUAGGUAGAGUUACCGCCAUGCUAACUCGUCCUAGGCCUUAAACCCAUUCCCAUGGAUGUUCUUUAGCCUAGUAGAUGCCUCUUCAAAAAGGUGGCAUUGGUUCACUUAAAUGGUGUGAUGUUUCUGAAAAUGCAUGUCUACAGCAUUUUUGCUGAAGCAGUAUACCAUUUCACCAAACAGUGCACCUGUUCGAAACAGUGCAUCACUUCAUUGAAGAAUUGCAUCUGUUCAGUCGAAACAGAAAUAGUAUAUCAGUUCAGUGCAUGUAUCAGUUCAGUCGAAAAGAAAUAGUACAUCAGUUCAGUCAAAACAGUGCAUCAGUUUUGUCGAAAUAUUGCAUCUGUUAUUGUUACUGCAUGCAUAUAAAUAAAGUAUUAUCGAAAAAGAUAGAUCUCAUCGAUCAUUUUCCAAAGCCAAAGCCGAGCGAGCGACGACGACGACAGAGCGAGGCAUCACUUAUUUCUUGCCUCACUUAUCAUGUAGAGUAAGUAUUCAUCAUUAUAAACACUCCAAAGUUCCUUUCUCCCAGCAAUGUGGGAGAAUUAGUGAACUUUCCAAUUUUGGGAGUACACUUACCAAAUUAGUGUCUCCUCUUCUCCACCAUUUUUUUCUCCAUUUUCCAUUCACACUUCUAUGAACCCAACAACUUAUACAUAAUAAAGUUAUAUAUUAUGUUAAACUAAUGGUUAUAUCAUUUAAUUUCAUCUAUGUUGAGUUAUUUAUAUUUGGAAAUGAAAAAUAGGUUUGAAAAUAAUUAUUUUAUAAGAAAAAUCAUUAAUUUUAAAUGUCCAGUCAUAACAAAGAGGGGUUCACUAGUUUAAUCUUCAAAAUAAAAAUAAAAAUCUGAAAUAAUCGAACCGAAUUUGUAGAAACCGGACCGAACCGAAUUUAUUUCGGUUUGAUUACGGUUGUCAUUUUUGUCAAUUCAAAAAUCGAAAAACCAAACCGAUAUUAAACUAUCAAACCGAACGAACCAAAUGUCCAUCCCUUCUUCCCAGGGGCGAACCUACGUAGAUUCAAGUGGAUUCAUAUGAGCCCACUUCGUCGAAAUAUCACACCGUAUGUAUCAAUGUUUGAAAAUGUACAAGAUAUAUAUUAAUUUUUUAACCCAUUUUAAAUAGCUCAGCCUAGUGGAAAGGCGGGUUCAAGAUUUUUGAUAGGUCAAACUUUCCGACACCAACAACCUUUUUGUUAAAUGUCAGAUAAUUUUUUCUUUCUAAUUUUUUUUUAUUAUAAUAUAACUUUAAAAUUUAUUUAAUCAAAAUUUGUUUAUUUAUUUCUCUGGGUAUUCAUUUUUUAUAUAUUUGAACCCACUUUCCUGAGCAGAAUCUAUGUUGCUAUUAUUGUAUAUUUGAACCCGCCACUGGUACUUGCUAUGUUCAGACUACAAAACAUAUUGGUGUUCCCUUUUAACUGAAAUGUCAUUGCUCUAGUAGUAAAAGGUCAAAGUCAUCAAUAGACACUCAAACUUAUUGUCAAAAUUCACUUAGACACCUAAACUAAGGCAUGUUCCUAUCAGGCCCCUAAACCCCCCACAUUUUGUUCAAAUUGGGUUUUUUUUGCCCUAUCAGCAAAAAACUCAAAGUGUGUUGCACACAAGCGAUGACAUGGCAAAAUGAGCUAAUUAGAAGCUGACACGUGGCAUUAUGGGUCCAAUAAUUAUUAAAAAUUAAUUAUAAUUUUAAAAAAAAAAAGUAUAUACAAAUGGCAUUGAAUAAAUUAUUAAAAAAUAAUUCUAAAAUUAUUUAAAAAUAAAACUGAUUAUUUAAAAAAAAUUAUAAAAAUUUUCUAAAAAUGAAAUAAAUUAUUAAAAAAUUAUUUUAAAAAACAAUUAAUUAAUAAGAAAAAUUAUAAUUUUUUUUUAAAAAUGGCGAGGAUAUAAAUUAUGAAAAAAUAAUUAUAAAAUUAUUUGAAAAAUAAAAAUAAAAAAUUAAUUAUUUUAAAAAAAUAUAAAUUUUUUAAAAAAUGAAAUAAAUUAUUAAAAUAUUAUUUAAAAAAUAAAAACUUAAUUAUUAAAAAAAAUAAAAUUUUUUAAAAAUUGAAAAUGAAAAAUGGCAUAGAGGAUAUAAAUUAUGAAAAAAUAAUUAUAAAAUUAUUUUUUAAAAAAACUAAUUAUAAAAUUAUUUUUUAAAAAAACUAAUUAUUAAAAAGAAAUCUUAAAUUUUUUUAAAAGAUGAAAAUAAAGAAUUAAUUUUUUUUAAAAUUCAGUUUAUUAAAAAUAAAAUAAAAUUGGGGCCUUCUAAUGCUUUUUGGGGCCUUUAGUGUUUCAAAAAAAAAAGAAAAUUUGUUAUUAAAAAAAUUUUGGGGCCCUCAAUGCCACUUGACAACUUUUUAUUCGUAAAUUAGUAAAAAAAAAUGCUCCUCACACGCCUUCCACAAUGGCACUGCACACGUAGUGUCACAUAGGCAAAAAAUGUCUAAUUGGAACAAAAUUCAGGGAUUUAAUGGUCUGAUAUGAACAUGUCUUAGUUUAGGGGUCUAAUUGAAUUUUUGCAAUAAGUUUGAGUGUCUAUCGAUGAGUUUGACCUUUUCAAAUUGACACAUGCGUAACCAAUUCUCUAAAUACCAAUUAUUUCUCCUUCAAGUGAUGUCAUCUUCCACAUGGUGGACCCCAUGAUCCUAAGAAUUAUUUAAAAAAUAAAAAAAUAAUUAUUAAAAAUAAAUUAUAAAUUUUUUAAAAAAAUAAAAAUCCCCCACCUAUCCCAGCCCCCAACGUAUUGUUUUAUUAAAAAAAAAAAUUGGAACCCCCUAAUGCUUUUUGUUUUAUUAAAAAGUGUCUUUAGUGUUUAAAAAAAAAUUGUUAUUAAAAAAAUUUUGGGGCCCUCAAUGCCACUUGGCAUCUUUUUAUUUGUAAAUUAGUAAAAAAAAUUGCUCCUCACACGCCUCCCACGAUGGCACUGCACGCGUAGUGCCACAUAGGCAAAAAAGGCCCAAUUGAAACAAAAUGUGGGGGGUUUAGGGGUCUGAUAGAAACAGGCGUUAGUUUAGGUGUCUAAGUGAAUUUUGACAACAAGUUUGAGUGUCUAUCGAUGUCUUUGGCCAGUAGUAAAAUAAUAUGAUGAUCCUCUUUCAUUUCUUGAUAGAAAAAUGAGGAAUCAUGUAAUAACAUCAUAUCGUUCAACAUUAUUCUUUGCACUAAUUUUGAGUAUUAUGUUAAGGUUUUUAAACUGAUUUUCUUAUCAAAAUUAAGUUUUACUUUUUUCUUGUAAGGAAAAUAAAAGUAAUCAUAAAUAUUUUUACUUUUCAUAAAAGAAAAUAUAAAACUUUUUCAUAUUUGGCAAACCUCUUUCUUAGAGGAAGGUUUUGGACAUCUAUAAGAAUUAAGAUCCCCUCUUCAUACCAUAACAUUGUAACAUUCUCAAUGUAGUCAUUGAAGAGUCUUUGUUUAUGAGUGAUUUCUCUCAAUAGGUUUAAUGUUUUUCGAUAUUAGGUUUUAUAAUAUGCAGGCCGAUUGGCCAAAACAUAUAAUAAUUUUAUGUUUUUUAAUAUUGUUUUCUUUGUCGCCUGAUUUAUCAUCUCAUAGUUUGCAACUAAUAGCUUCCGCAUGACAUCCUCUCGUUUUUGAACCCAACAAAUGGUAUCAGAGUCGAUGGUUCAAAGAUCCGAUGGUUCGAUUGAGGACUUUUUAAGAUCAAAGUUGCAAUCAAUUUGGCGAUGAUGAAGCUUUUGUCAAAAAAAAAAAAAAAGGUUCAAAAACUACAUGUGGAGAAAAAGUUUCAAACAAAAUUUCAACAAUCUUGGUGCUAAUCCAUCUUUAAAACCAAAAUCAAUUUCAACUCAUAUUUAUGACUUCAAUUUUCAAUCUAUACUUGCUUUAACGCUUGGGCUCCUUUCAACUCGUGCAUUUAUUUUUAAUGCAUGAGCUCCACUCUUAACCUGUGCUCACUUUCAAUGCACAAAGUUCUACUUUCAAUCUUAUCAACCGUGCUUUUAUUUUUAAUGCAUAGGACUCUAAUUUUAACCCAUAUCAAUUUUUAAUCAUGGUUGACAGCAGUGAUAUAUGAAGAAUAUAUGAAAAACGAAGAUCAUGCACAAGAAAAAGGAGGAUCAAGAAUAUUUUGCAGAAAAUCAAGCAAAAAAGGGAGAUUUGUUAGGGUUUUUACUCUAAUUUUCUUACCAAAAUUAAGUUUUACUUUUUCUUAUAAAAAAAUAAAAGUAAUCAUAAAUACUUUUAUUUUUGUUAAAAGAAAAAUAUAAAACUUUUCUAUAUUUGGCAAACCUCUUUCUUGGAGGAAAGGUUCUGGACAUUAGGAUACUCUUCUCAUGCCAUAAUACGGUAGCAUCCACAAUGUAGUCAUUGAAGAGUUUUGUUUAGGGAAAUUUAAUGUUUUUUCGAUAUUAGAUUUUAUAAUAUGCAGGCCGAUUGGCCAUAACAUAUAAUAAUUUUAUACUUUUUAGUGUUAUUUUCUUUGUCACCUGAUUUAUCGUCCCAUAAUUUGCAACUAAUAGCUUCCGCAUGACGCUCUCUCGAUUACGAUCCCAACAUAUUGUUUCUUGAGAAUUAAUUGAAUUCCAUAAGUUCCUCCGGUCCGUAAAUUUAAGUUUUAAGAUUUUAACAGCUUUAUAGUUUUUCAGUUACCAUAUCCCAAAAUGUAGCUCCGGUCGUUUCUGCUAUGCUCUUUUUUUUUUUUUUUUCCUUUGGUAUGAAAGUGGCAAUAAAUGAUUCAUGUCUUUUGAAAGUGAAACUAAGAACUAGACCGUCAUUGGAAAAUAACAAACAUUUAUUCUAUUGUCAACUCACUCACAACAACUUUGCAAGGCCAUCAAACAAUCAAAUUUUAACAAUUAUAUUAUGAUAUUCAUUUUCCGGGAACAAAGUUUGUGGCGUAGGCCCAGGCAUUGUUGUUAACCGGAUCUGCUAGAUGGUCAGCAAGGUUCUCCAAUGGACCCUUUCCUGUAACAAUGGCCUGAACAAAGAAUCCAAACAUAGAGAACAUAGCAAGUCUACCGUUCUUGAUCUCCUUUACCUUGAGCUCAGCAAAUGCCUCUGGAUCAUCAGCAAGACCCAAUGGGUCAAAGCUGCCACCGGGAUAGAGUGGGUCGACUACCUCACCAAGAGGCCCACCAGCAAUACGGUAUCCCUCAACGGCUCCCAUCAAGACAACUUGGCAAGCCCAGAUGGCCAAGAUGCUCUGUGCAUGGACCAAACUUGGGUUGCCCAAGUAGUCAAGUCCACCCUCGCUGAAUAUCUGGGAUCCAGCCUUGAACCACACAGCCUCACCAAACUUGACACCAUUACGGGCCAAGAGCUCGGGGAAAACACAUCCAAGAGCACCAAGCAUAGCCCAUCUGCAGUGGAUCACCUCGAGUUCACGGUUCUUGGCAAAGGUUUCUGGGUCUGCUGAAAGUCCAGCGGUGUCCCACCCGUAGUCACCGGGAAAUUCACCGGUCAAGUAGCUUGGAGACUCACCUGAGAAUGGACCCAAGUACUUGACACGGUCUGGCCCAUACCAUGGGCUGCCAGAUGAGGCUGGCUUGGAGACAGCCUUUCUCAUAGAGAUCCUUCCAUUUCCAGUGAUUUCUGAGGCAGAGGGUGAGAGUUUCACUGCCUGUCCAGCAAAAGAAGGUGAAGAAAGUGCCAUUGUAGAAGCUGCCAUGGCUUAUCAAGAGAAAAGUAAGUGUUUGAUGGUAUGAAAUAUUGUUGAAGUUGGCUGUGAUGAGGUGAAGUUAAUUACAAGGGGCUUCACCAUAUAUAGGAGGAGUAAGAGCGGUAGAGGCCUUUAUCUAACGAUAUCUACAUCUUUUUCUUUUGGUGUUAACGAUAUCUGUAUCUGUGAUCUCAUUGGGUAAUAAGAUCACAUGUGUAGAAAUUAAUGCACACUUGGCAAUCUCCAGACUCCAAUCCAUCAAUUUUCCAAGAUGUUUACUAAAAGGACCCAUCCAAUAUUGUCCGCCUUAGUGUGGCUACGAGGUUAUUGACUCUAUUCUGUGAUUCGUUGAGCUUACACUAAGAUAUCUCUUAUCGUUAUCUUUUGGGAAUUUCUCCAGAUUUUAUCCACCAGCUGGGAAUAAGUUACCACCACUAUAGCUCAUUCAAUGUAGAAGUAGAAGUUAGAACUAUGGUUUAGCGUUGCACUAAAUAAAUAGUAGAAAAGCUGAAUUUUUCAGAUUAUCAGUAACUAAUGUCUAUCAAAAGAUUAAUUUGAAGUAAUUGCUUAACAAGCAAAAGUGGAUCAGAAUUUGAACUUUCAUGGGUUCUGUAGUCUAGGACGAGUUCUACUAAAUAGAUUCCAAAUUUAACUUUUCUACAUACUCGCUCCGUCCCAUUUUACCCGUCCCAAAUUGGCUAAGUUGAUGUUUCAUUUUAGUUGUCCCAUUUUACUUAUCAAGAUAAGACAAACUUUUCUUUCCAUGUUUUACCCUUUGCAUUAAUUAUCUUUUCUUUAAAUUAAAAUGUAAACAUCAUUUAAUAGGGGUACUUGGGUAAACUAGCCAUGUUAUAUAUUAUUUUUCUUAAUUGUUGUGCCAUCCUAAUUUGGGACAAGUAAAAUGGGACGGAGAGAGUAUUUAAUAAGCUUAUCAAAACAUAUGCAUGGUUUGGGCCAAAGUUAGUUAGUUCUGUCAAACUGGUUUGCUGAAGGCUAUCUGCGCAUGUUAAUAAGUGAUAUGAUUGUGUUAUGUGCAAGUAUUUUUACAAUGUCAAUGCAUAACCUCUCUAUAGUGUCCUGUAUAGCUUGUAUCUUCUGCUUACAAUGUCCUUUUGGCUCUGGUCAUUGUUAUGUGAACGUGUUCUUCUCUAAAGAGAAUACCACAUGCACGUAAGGAUGGAGGACUAUACAAGAAACUCAUGAAUUUGUUCAAAUCUAAGAUGCUGCUUAAAUUAAGGACACAUAAGUAUAAUGGCCUGGAAACUCAUAUAUUACUUGCUACGUUCAAAAUACAAAACAUAUACAUUGGUUUUCCCCUUAUCAUUAAAAUGUCAAUGGUGUACGCAGUAGUGAAAUAAUAUUAUGUCCUCUUAAUUCAUCUCACUUCUCGACAGGAAAAUAAGGAAUCAUGUAAAUAACAUCAUGUUGUACAUUGUUAAUCGUGGCACUAAGAGUAUUGCUUCUUGAGAAUUAAUUGAAUUCCAUAAGUUCCUCUGGUCUGUAUAUUCAAAUUAUAAGCUUUUUGUCAAAAAACAAAGGGAGCGGUAGAGUUAAGCUACAAGGAGAAAAAUAUAAGGAAAUUGCAGCUGUAAAUUGCUACAAAAAAGACUGCAGUAAAGAACAAGAAGCUGAAACUUUUUGAGUGUUUUCUAUUUUUUGGAUAGUUAUAAAUGUCUAAUGUCAUCCCUUAUUUAUACUUAUGUAGGGAUGAUUCUAGAUACUACAAAUCUAGAGUGUUCGUAUACAAAUAUCUCCCUCAAAUAUCUAGCACCCUCUAGAUCUUUCCUAAAUAUAAAUAUCAAAUAUACUACACUAUUCCUUUCUAGAUUCUUCUAACUAGAAUUACCUAAAUAUCUAGAUAUUUCUUUAGCAUGAUCAUCCUAGAAAUUUUACUAGACUAUUCUACAGACUGAACUAGAAAUCUAUGAUUCCAAAAAAUCUACUUUAAUAUUUUCACACUCCCUCUUAAAGUGAUUUUUUUGGAAGCUAUCCUAAACUUGUUGCGGAAGAACUCAAGUGAAGCUUUGAACCGUACUUUAGUGAAAAUCUUGAUAGUUUUUGCAUGACUCCUCUUUCUUCUUCAAAUGAUGAAGAUUUCUCGUUAAUGAUUGGCCCUUGUUGAGUUUUAUCAUAUUGAGUUCUCGAGCUCCCCCUUUCUCUGAACUCCUCCGUAACUUCAUUAUCUGGUGACCCAAAUAUGAUGGAAAAGUUUGAAACUCUAGGAUUGAAGAUUUUAGAACUUACUCUUUCUGAAGCAACUCCAUAACACAAGAAUAAUUUUUUGGUAUCAACCUCCUUAUUUGAUUUGAUGACGAUCUUUUGUUCGGGCCUAUCAACUAGCUCCCAAGUAUUAUUUUUUUAUCAUGGCAAGCUCCUCAUCCAUUGCGGAAAUCCAAGUUUCAUGACUUCUGCUUCUUCAAAAGAAGAUGGUUCCACAAGAGCAAAAUUGCAUUGCUCAUAAACUUCAGGUAGUGACCUGGUCUUCAAAAUAGGAGAAUCUGAAGUUAAUUCAACAUCUGAAUUGUCUUCUUUUUCAAUAAGAGGAUUGGAAGAAAUAUUACACGUCUGUGGAUUUUGAGCUGCAACUGAAGUACACUCAUCUUGGUUCUUUACAACAAUAUCUCGAUCCUAAUCAUAGUGGCUAGACUCAUCCACCGCAAGAUCUCUACUGAUAAGCACCUUUUACGCACGAACAUUAUACACUUUCUACCCUUUUGCAGCUGUGUUAUAGCCCAACAAAAUACAAAGUCCUGCCUUGUUAUCCAAUUUACCUCUUUUAGCAUCAGGAACAUAUGCAUAACAGACUGAACCAAAAACUUUUAAGUGUCUCACAGAUGACUUUAUACCUUUCCAUGCUUUAAAUGGUGUCAUGUCUUGGAGUGCUCUAGUUGGUAAUAUGUUUAGUAAAUAGACUGCAGUACUGACUGCCUCAGCCCAAAAACAUUUGGGUAUCUUCUUUUCUGCUAGCAUACAUCUCACCAUCUCCAUCACGGUUCUGUUCUUUCUCUCAGAAAUACUGUUUUGUUCUGGAGUGUAGCUCACAGUAAAUUGUUGUUGAAUGCCCACAUCUUUACAAUACUUGUUGAACUAAUGCGGAGUAUAUUCAGUUUCAUUAUCUGACCUGAUAUACUUCAAUCGGCAACCACUCUUCCUUUCUACCAUAGCCUUGAAUUCUUUGAAAACAGAAAACACCUGAACUUUGUUACUUAAAAAUAGACCUAUGUCAUUCGAGUUAGAUCAUUUAUAAAGAGAAUAAAAUAUUUAUUCCCACUCAAAGAAGUUGUCCUCAUUGGUCUACAUAUAUUUGUAUGAACCAACUCUAGUUUUUCCUUCGUCCUCCAAAGACUUCUUUUAGGAAAGAAUUAUUUAUGCAAUUUACCAAAUUGACAUGACUCACAAACAUCUCGGCACAUGUCAAUUUUGGGUACAUCAAGCACCAUACCCUUGGAUUGCAUAUACACCAAUGAACUAAGAUUGUAAUGACCGAAUCUUUUGUGCCAAAGCCAAAUAUCAAUUAUUUCAACAUUGAAAGAGCAACUUUCAACAGAAUAGCAUGAAAUUGGAAAGGAAUUACCAAUCAUGCUAAUUUUAGCUACUUCACAACCUUUAGGAUCAUAAAUGACACAUUUUUUAUCCUUAAAAAUAAGUGAAUAAUUAUUGUGAAGUAACUGAGCAACACUCAACAAGUUUUGAGUCAAGCUUGGCACAUAAAAAACAUCGUUUAUGAUUUUCAUACCUUCGUCCGUAGGAAAUUUCACUGAUCCUCUUCCUUGAGCUUGCACCAGUGCACCAUCUCCUAGCUUCACUUUGAUCCUAUCAGACCUGUCCAGGCUAACAAAUAGAUUUUCAACAAUCGUCAUGUGCCUUGUGCACGCACUAUCGACAUGCCAAUUAUAUCGAUCGACAUGUGAUAUGUGUGAAGCCAUGAAUACCUCUUCCUCUAUUUUUUGAACUUGGUGAUCUUCCGCAAAAUUUACUCAUUGAAAAGACUGACCAAUUUGAGUUUGCUUUUGCCUGCAAUGCUUCUCAAUGUGCCUAUACUUCUUGCAGUAUCUGCAUUGAAUAGGAGACCUCUUGGACUUCUGCCAACAAUUUUUCUAUAAGUGGUUUGUCUUCUUACAAAUACCACAAGGUGGAAAUUUUUCUCUCCUCAACGAUUCACCUUGGUAUCCACCAGAUUUCACCUCUCCAGAGUGGUCUAAAAAGACUUUUUUGCCUUCUUUUUGUUGCUUGAAAGGCAUAUUCGACUGUUCCUUCGAUUCUCAUAGUUACCCAUUGCUCUUGGAUUUGCAAUUUAGAGAUCAACUCAGCUAUUGAAAGAAUAGUCAAGUCACAGGACUCUUUAAUAGCUGAGAAUUUGUAUUUAAACUUGUCUGGAAAGCUGACCAUAAUCCCCUUUAUAACCUUCUAAUCUAAAAAGUUUUCACCAAGUAUCCUUAUGUGGUUCACAAUAUCCAUUAGCUUAGAAGAGUAUUCUUUUACACUAUCCGGAUCCUUCAUCUUCAAGAGCUCAAACUCCCUCUUCAAAGCUAAAACCUUAACAGACUUAACUCUGUUGCUGCCUUCAAACUCCUUCUUUAGCUUAUCUCAGGCUUCUUUAGCUGUCUCACAAGCCAUAAUCCUUGUAAAUAUCACUUCCGUAAGGGUUGAAUGUAUGCAAGUGAGUGCUCUUGGAGAUCUAGUCACCAAUUCAUCAUACUUUUUGAUAUCAUUUAGAGUUGAGUUGUCUCUCAAUGGCUGGACAGCAGGUUCUCCUCUCUAAACAAUAUCCCACAAGUUGAGAGUCUUCAAAUAAGCCUUCAUUUUAAUGGUCCAAAUAUGAUAAUUCUCCCCCGAAAAAAUCGAAGGACCCAUUGUUGGUUGAUUUUCUGGUGCCAUGUUUUUUCAGUAAAUAGAUUCAAGAAAGGAGCUAAAAAUAAGAUGAGUCAAUCAACAAAAAACAUAUUCAGAUCCCGUAAGAAAUGGGCUCUGAUACCAUGUCAAAAAAUAAAGGAAACGGGGAGAGUAAAGCUACAAGGAGAAAAAUAUAAGGAAAUUGCAACUGCAAAUUGCUACAAAAAAGACUGCAGUGAAGAAGGAGAAGCUGAAACUUUUUUAGUGUUUUCUAUUUUCUAGAUAGUUAUAAAUGUCGAAUGUAAACCCUUAUUUAUUCUUAUGUAGGGACGAUUCUAGAUACUACUCCCUCCAUCCCAUUUUACCCGUCCCAAAUUGGGAUGGCACAGCUAUUAAGAAAACAAUGAUUGGUAAUGUUACUUUACCAUUUUUUCUCUCUUAAUUGUGUCUUGUUGUUAGUUCCAAUAUUGAUGGAUGACCAAUACAAAAGCACCAUUUAUAUUCUUAAUGGUGUACUCCUAAUGGUACUCUUCUUUGCAACGUUUUUCAAAAAUGUUAAUAACAAGGAGUAAGCAAUUACACUGAGGAUAAAAUGAAAAAAAAAGUUGUCUUAUCUUGAUAAGUAAAAAAGGACAACUAAAAUGGGACAUCAAAUUAGAAAAUUUGGGACGGGUAAAAUGGGACAGGGAGUACAAAUCUAGAGUGUUCUUAUACAAAUAUCUUCCUCAAAUAUCUAGCCCCCUCUAGAUUUUUCCUAAAUAUAAAUAUCAAAUAGACUACACUCUUCCUUUCUAGAUUCUUCUAACUAGAAUUACCUAAAUAUCUAGAUAUUUCUUCAACAUGAUUAUCCUACAAAUUUCACUAGACUAUUCUAGAGACUUAACUAGAAAUCUAUGAUUCCAAAAAAUCUACUUUAAUACCAUCACACUUUUACCACAUCCAAAAUGUAUCUUGGGUUUUUUUUUUUUUUGGCUUUGUCAUCGAUUUUUCUCCCCUUGAUAUGAAACUGGCAGUAUUUAUUCAUGCCAUUGGAAAAUGAAAUUCAGGACUACACAAUAACUGGAAUAUAAGAAAAAUCCAUUCUAUUGUCAAGUAAACUCACAACUACAACUUUACAAGGGCAUCAAACAAUGAAAUUUUAAGAUUGUUUUACGAUAUUCAUUUUCCGGGGACAAAGUUUGUGGCGUAGGCCCAUGCGUUGUUGUUAACUGGAUCUGCAAGGUGGUCAGCGAGGUUCUCCAAUGGACCCUUUCCGGUAACAAUGGCCUGAACAAAGAAUCCAAACAUAGAGAACAUAGCAAGUCUACCGUUCUUGAUCUCCUUUACCUUGAGCUCAGCAAAUGCCUCUGGAUCAUCAGCAAGACCUAAUGGGUCAAAGCUGCCACCAGGGUACAAUGGGUCGACUACCUCACCAAGAGGCCCACCAGCAAUACGGUAACCUUCAACGGCUCCCAUCAAGACAACUUGGCAAGCCCAGAUGGCCAAGAUGCUCUGUGCAUGAACUAAGCUUGGGUUGCCCAAGUAGUCAAGUCCACCCUCGCUGAAGAUUUGGGAUCCAGCCUUGAACCACACAGCCUCACCAAACUGGACACCGUUACGGGCCAAGAGCUCGGGGAAAACACAUCCAAGAGCACCAAGCAUAGCCCAUCUGCAGUGGAUCACCUCGAGUUCUCGGUUCUUGGCAAAGGUUUCUGGAUCUGCUGAAAGUCCAGCGGUGUCCCACCCGUAGUCACCAGGGAAUUCGCCGGUCAAGUAGCUUGGGGGCUCACCCGAGAAUGGGCCCAAGUACUUAACACGGUCUGGGCCAUACCAUGGGCUUCCAGAUAGGGCAGGCUUGGAGACAGCCUUUCUCAUAGAGAUCCUUCCAUUUCCACUGAUUUCUGAGUUAGAGGGUGAAAGUUUCACUGCCUGUCCGGCAAAAGAAGGGGAAGAAAGAGCCAUUGUAGAAGCUGCCAUGGUUUAUCUCAAGAGAAAGGAGAGUAUUUGCUGGUUUGAAAUAUUGUUGAAGUUGGCUGUGAUGAGAUGAAGUUACAAGGGGCCUCACUUUACCAUAUUAUAGCAAGUAAGAGGGGAAGAGUCCUUAUCUAGUGAUAUCUAUUUCUAUGAUCUCAUUGGGUAUCAAGAUCCUUUGUCUAGCAAUUAAUGCACACUUGGGUAUCUCCAAUCCAUCAAUUAUCCAAGAUGUUUGCUAAGGGGACCCAUCCAACAUAGUCCUCUCACAUGUGGCUACAAGGCUUGAACAAUAUUCUGUGAUUUGCUGAACUUACAAUGCUGAUAUCUCUUAUCAUAAUCCGUUGAGAAUUGCUCCAGAUUUUAUUUAUCAGCACUACAGCUCAUUCGAGGUAGAACUAUGGUUUACCGUUUCACUAAUUAUAUUCAGGAAAGUUCAUUACUUGAUAUAUAAAUUGUGUAAAAAUUAAUAAUACAUGUUUGGAACUUUAUUAUAUAAGACCUUAAUAUAUAGUAAUAUAAGAGUCAGUAGCAUAGUAAAUUAUUUAACCUGCAAUUCAUAUAAAAGUGAAGAUACUGUUUUGGGGGUUUUACAAAUUUAAUAUUUACAGGUGCAUGCAAAGCAAGAAUAUGAUCUUCCCUUUCAAAACAUUUAACAUAGGUUCAUGCUUGGAUCUUUAUUAAUCUGAUCAUGAAGAGGUAUAUUAAGUUCUAUAUAUGUUGCACUGUUAAUUUCAUGUUUAGAUAUUUAAUGACGGGUUAGAUUCAUUUUAACUACUGCACAGUGCUUAGACUAAUUGGAAAGAACUUGUUCAUGAGCGGGGGUUGGCAAACGGGCGGGUUGACUCAGAUAUAAACAAAUCAAAAAUGAGCCAACAAAAAUGGAUAAAAUAUCCGACCCACCUGUAUUUGAUAUGGAUGAAAAAUGAGAAACCAACGGGAUAUUAUUUCAUAUUAUGUAAAAGAAAUAAGUACUUCCAAUAUGAGAAAGGCAGAGUAUGUACAUGGAUUAAUUAAUUAAUUGGGAUUCACCAGCAGCACAAUAUGACCAAUUAAUUGUGUUAAGGGCAGGAACAUUUGCCAAUAAUGGAUCAGGUUAUUUACGGGUUUGGAUAAAAGGAACUUUAACUUGACACCAAAUUAUAACUAUGUGCUUUUAACUUUGUUAGUACACAAGUAGACCCUUUAACUAUAUAAAAAUCAAAUAAAAAAAUAGUCUAAUUCAGCAACUUACAUGCGUAAAAUUCAAUCACUCCUACGUGGAUUAAUAAUCCACUCAGAUGCUGCCACCUAAUAAAAAAGACGCAUUAUAACUAUGAUCAUUAACUUUGCGCACAAAUAGACGCUUUAAUUAUACAAAAGCUGAAAAAAAAAACACUUCAAUUUUAACUCUGACGCUCGUGAUUUUGAGUGUAUACAUGCAUUUUGCCAGGUUACGAUUGGAGUGUUUGUUUGUUCAACUUUUGUAUUGUUAAAGGCCUACUUGUACAUUGAUAAAGUUAAAGAUCAUAGUUAUAAUUUGAUAUCAAGUUACAUGUUUAUGUACUGAGUUUAAGUUCUGUGCACCGUCAGUGCACAAAAUAUUUUAUACUAUCAGUUAACUUGACCUGCUAUUGCAGGUUACCCAAUUAUUUAUAUAAAAAUUUAAAAAUAAAAAAUUGUUAUUGCAGGUUACCCAAUUAUUUAUAUAAAAAUUUAAAAAUAAAAAAUUAGAUAACCUGCAAUAGCAAGUCAAGUUUACCUAAUAGGAUAGAAUAUUUUGUACACUGAUGGUGCACAAAACUUAAAAAUUUAGGUAUUAUGCCUAUUUACAACUUAUGGAGUAAAUAUAAGUUGUAAAUAUUCUCUUUUUUCACACAGUAAUUUUUAACUUGUAAUAGCUGAUAAGUCCCCGUUGUUACAAGAAACUUUAAGAUUUUUUCCAAAGAUGCAUCAAAUUAAGGACAUAAUUAUAAUGGUCUGGAAACCUAUAUUAUAGCAUGUUGAUUACUACUUGCUAUACCUUCAGACUACAAAACAUAUUGGUUUUCACUUAACAUUGAAAUGCCAAUGGUCUAUAUGGUAGUGAAAUAAUAUUAUGUCCUCUUAAUUGCUCUUUCACUUCCCGAUAGGAAUCACGUAACAACAUCUAUGCUCAACAUUUCUCUGUGCACUAUUCUCUGUGCACUAAUUUAAUGUGUUCCUUCCUGGGAAUUAAUUGAAUUCCAUAACUUCCUGUGGUCAGUAAACUUAAGUUUGAAGCUUAUAACAGCUUUAUAGUUAUUCUAGUUACCACGUCUCAUAUUAAUCUACAGUUUUUCUUUACUAUGUUCUCUUUCUUUAAUUCCCCUUUAGUAUGAAAGUGGCAAAAAAUUUUAUUCAUGACUUUGGAGAAUGUAACUCAGAACUACACAAUUAUUGGAAUAUGAGACAAAAAUCCAUUCUAUUGUCAAGUAACUGCUCAUAACAACUUUACAAGACCAUCAAACAAUGAAAUUUUAAGAUUGUUUUACGAUAUUCAUUUUCCGGGAACAAAGUUUGUGGCGUAGGCCCAGGCAUUGUUGUUAACCGGAUCUGCUAGGUGGUCAGCAAGGUUCUCCAAUGGACCCUUUCCUGUAACAAUGGCCUGAACAAAGAAUCCAAACAUAGAGAACAUAGCAAGUCUACCGUUCUUGAUCUCCUUUACCUUGAGCUCAGCAAAUGCCUCUGGAUCAUCAGCAAGACCCAAUGGGUCAAAGCUGCCACCAGGGUAUAGUGGGUCGACUACCUCACCAAGAGGCCCACCAGCAAUACGGUAUCCCUCAACGGCUCCCAUCAAGACAACUUGGCAAGCCCAGAUGGCCAAGAUGCUCUGUGCAUGGACCAAACUUGGGUUGCCCAAGUAGUCAAGUCCACCCUCGCUGAAUAUCUGGGAUCCAGCCUUGAACCACACAGCCUCACCAAACUUGACACCAUUACGGGCCAAGAGCUCGGGGAAAACACAUCCAAGAGCACCAAGCAUAGCCCAUCUGCAGUGGAUCACCUCGAGUUCACGGUUCUUGGCAAAGGUUUCUGGGUCUGCUGAAAGUCCAGCGGUGUCCCAACCAUAGUCACCAGGGAAUUCACCGGUCAAGUAGCUUGGGGGCUCACCAGAGAGUGGGCCCAAGUACUUAACACGGUCUGGGCCAUACCAUGGGCUGCCAGAUGAGGCAGGCUUGGCAACAGCCUUUCUCAUAGAGAUCCUUCCAUUUCCAGUGAUUUCUGAGGCAGAUGGUGAGAGCUUCACUGCCUGUCCGGCAAAAGAAGGGGAAGAAAGAGCCAUUGUAGAAGCUGCCAUGGCUUAUCUCAAGAGAAAGGUAAGUGUUUGAUGGUAUGAAAUAUUGUUGAAGUUGGCUGUGAUGAGAUGAAGUUACAAGGGGCCUCACUUCACCAUAUUAUAGUAAGUAAGAGGGGAAGAGUCCUUAUCUAGUGAUAUCUAUUUCUAUGAUCUCAUUGGGUAUCAAGAUCCUAUGUGUAGCAAUUAAUGCAUACUUGGGUAUUUCCAAUCCAUCAAUUUUCCAAGAUGUUUGCUAAAGGGACCCAUCCAACAUAGUCCUCUCACAUGUGGCUACAAGGAUUGAACAAUAUUCUGUGAUUUGCUGAACUUACAAUGCUGAUAUCUCUUAUCAUUAUCCGUUGGGAAUUUCUCCAGAUUUCAUUUAUCAGCACUACAGCUCAUUCGAUGUAGAACUAUGGUUUACCGUUUCACUAAAUAUAUUCAGGAAAGUUCAUUACUUGAUAUAUAAAUUGUGCGGAAAUAAAUAAUACAUGCUUAUGUUUGGAAAGAAAUGCGUUUGGAACUUAAUUAUAUAAGACCUGAAUAUAUAUAAGCAAGAGUCAGUAGCAUAGUAAUUAUUUACCUGCAAUUCAUAUAAAAGUGAAGAUACUGUUUUUUGGGGUUUUACAAAUUUAAGAUUGACAAGUGCAGGCAAUGAAAGAAUAUGAUCUUCCUUUUCAAAAUAUUUAACAUAGGUUCAUGCAUGUAUAUUUAUUAAUCUGAUCGUGAAGAGGUAUAUAAAGUUCUAAAUAUGUUGCACUGUUAAUUUCAUGUUUAGAUAUUUAACGACGGGUUAGAUUCAUUUUAACUACUGCACAAUGCUUAGACUAAUUGGAAACGCGCAGAUUGAGUCGGAUAUGGACAGAUCAAAAAUGAGCUAGUGAAAAUGGAUAAAAUAUCUAAUUCACCCGUAUUGAUAUGGAUGAAACAUGAGAAACCAACGGAUAAUAUGGAUAUUAGUUCAUAUUAUGUAAAAGAAUAAGUACCUCCAAUAUGAGAAAGGCAGAGUAUGUACAUGGAUUAACUAAUUAAUUGGGAUUCAUCAGCAUCACAAUAUGACCAAUUAACUUUACGAGAAUUGUGUUAAGGGCAAGAGCAUUUGCCAAUGAUGGAUCAAGUUAUUUACAUCUUAUGCCUUAUGGUGUAAAUAUAAGUUGUAUAUAUUUUCUUUUUGGCAUGAUACACAAAUAUGAUCCUAAACUUAUAUCAAAUUAUAACUUUGACCUUAAACUUUGAUAGUGCACAAAUAGGACCUUUAACUAUUCAAAAUUUGAACAAAUAUGACCUCCGAUUUUGCAACCUCCAUGCGCGAGUUUCACUCGCGCCUAUGUGGAAAGCUCAUCAAUCACACGGUGCCACGUCGUUAAAAGGGCUGACUUGGAGGGAGGUCAUAUUUGUGCAAUUUUGAAUAGUUAAAGAUCAUAUUUGUGCACUGUCAAAGUUUUGCUUUUUGUGUUAAAACAACGUUGUUUUAUUAUUAUUAUUAUUAUUAUUAUUAUUAUUAUUAUUAUUAUUAUUAUGAAUAUUACUAUUUAUUUUUUUAAUUUUAUUUAUUUAUUUCUAUAGCAGCUAGGGGUGGGCGUUCGGUAUUCGAUAUUCGGUUCGGUAUUUUCAAAUUUCGGAUUCGAUAAUUUGGUAAUUGGUAUUUGAACGUAGAUACCAUAUACCAUACUAAUAAAUAUCGAUUCGGUAAUCGAUAAAUUAAAUUUCGGUUCAGUACGGUAUUUGGUAAUACCAUAUUAAAAUUGAAGAUGUGCAAAUAUACAUUUAAACUUCAAAGAGUAUAUUUAAAAGAAACCCUAUUUAGCAUUAUUUUGUUGCUUUUUACGAAUAUAUUAUCAAGGUCUAAGAGAUUCUUUGAGAUGACUAAUACUAUUGUUUAUUGGGUUGGUUAGACAUAUAGUAUAUAUAUAUAUAUAUAUAUAUAUAUAUAUAAUUCGGUAUUCGGUAUUUACCGAAUACAAAACGGUAUUAAUAUCUUGUACCAAAUUCAAUCCCGAAAUAUUAAAAUUUUAUUCUCAAAUACCAUACCAAAUACAAAAUUUUUUGAUUCGGUUCGGUAAUUCGAUUUUCGGUAUUUUAUGCCUAGCCCUAAUAGUAACAACACCUAACUUUUUUUAAUUAAAAAAAAAAAACCACUAGCAGGGAUCGACCCCACGCAGUAGGUUGAAGGAAGCACCCAAGAAGAGCAAAUAACACCACUGGAUUAUCUAAGUGCAAUGUUUCAUGUGGUUCAACAUUAAUAUACGUACAUAAAUAUAGAUUAUCUACCUUAUAUAUACAACAUAAUUUUUUUACCGAGGGGGUUCGGGUGAAUCCCAUGGCGACCACGUAGGUCCGCCCCUGCGUUAAUUUAAUAACGUUAAUUUAAUAACAUUUUAAUAACGUUAAUUUAAUAUACUACUAUUAUUAUCUUUAAUAACGUUAAUUUAAUAACAUUUUAUUAAAACUAUAAUUUUUUUAUUAUUAGUAUAGUUUCAUCUUUAAUUUAAUAUUUAAAUAAAUUAUAUUUCGAUAUAUUAUAUAACAUAAAUUCUCCCUCUGCUUUAUAAUAUGUAUAUAUACCCGCAAUUUUUUCGUAUGAGGCUAACCCACUUAAUUAAUAAAUCUUCAAUAUUGCACUUUUUCCGCAAUGACAAAAGAAAUUGAAUGUCAUUUUCAUCUUUGAGCUGAAAAUAAUGAAAAAUAAUAGUGAAAAGUCAUUUAAAGAUUAUAUUUGUGCAGUUUUGAAUAGUUAAAAGCCACAUUUAUGCACUCUCAAAAUUUAAGGUCAAAGUUAUAAUUUGGUGUCAAGUUUAGAAUCACAUUUAUGUAUUAUGUCCUUAGAUUUUAAACAGGACGCGCCCAAUUUUGCAUGUUGAACACGCAUUUUACCACAUAGGACCGAAGGUUAUAUUUAUGUAAUUUUAAAUAGUUAAAAAUUAUAUUUUUGCACUAUCAAAAUUUAAGGUUAAAAUUAUAAUUUGAUGUUAAAUUUAAGGCUUUAUGUAUUAUGCCUUUCUUUUUUCACACCAUCAUUAAAUUUUAAGUUGUAAUAGUAGAUAAGUCACCAUUGUUACACGAAACUUUUAGAUUUUUUCCAAAGAUGUUAAUCAAACCAAGGACAUAAUUAUAAUGGCCUGGAAACUUAUAUUAUAGCAUUUUAAUUACUACUUGCUAUACCUUCAGACUACAAAACAUAUUAGUUUUCACUUAUCAUUGAAAUGUCAAUGGUCUAUAUGGUAGUGAAACAACAUUAUGUUCUCUCAAUUGCUCUUUCACUUCUCUACUGGAAACAUAUAAUAACAUCAUAUUGCUCAACAUUUCUCUUUGCACUAAUUUACUGUGUUCCUUCCUGAGAAUUAAUUGAAUUCCACAAGUUGCUGUGGUCAGUAAACCUAAGUUUAAAGCUUAUAACAGCUUUAUAGUUUUUCUAGUUAUCAUAUCUCAUAUGUAUCUACCAUUUUUCUUUACUAUGUUCUCUUUCUUUAAUUCCCCUUUGAGAUGAAAGGGGCAAAAAAUUUUAUUCAUGGCUUUGGAAAAUGUAACUCAGAACUACACAAUUAUUGGAAUAUGAGAAAAAAAUCCAUUCUAUUGUCAAGUGACUGCUCAUAACAACUUUACAAGACCAUUAAACAAUCAAAUUUUAAGAUUUUCAUUUUCCGGGGACAAAGUUUGUGGCGUAGGCCCAGGCGUUGUUGUUAACUGGAUCUGCAAGGUGGUCAGCAAGGUUCUCCAAUGGACCCUUUCCAGUAACAAUGGCUUGAACAAAGAAUCCAAACAUAGAGAACAUAGCAAGUCUACCGUUCUUAAUCUCCUUUACCUUGAGCUCAGCAAAUGCCUCUGGAUCAUCAGCAAGACCUAAUGGGUCGAAGCUGCCACCGGGGUAGAGUGGGUCGACGACUUCACCAAGAGGCCCACCAGCAAUACGGUAUCCCUCAACGGCUCCCAUCAAGACAACUUGACAAGCCCAGAUGGCCAAGAUGCUCUGUGCAUGAACCAAGCUUGGGUUGCCCAAGUAGUCAAGUCCACCCUCGCUGAAGAUCUGGGAUCCAGCCUUGAACCACACAGCCUCACCAAACUGGACACCGUUACGGGCCAAGAGCUCGGGGAAAACACAUCCAAGAGCACCAAGCAUAGCCCAUCUGCAGUGGAUCACCUCGAGUUCCCGGUUCUUGGCAAAGGUUUCAGGGUCUGCUGAAAGUCCAGCGGUAUCCCACCCAUAGUCACCAGGGAAUUCACCAGUCAAGUAGCUUGGGGGCUCACCAGAGAAUGGGCCCAAGUACUUAACACGGUCUGGACCAUACCAUGGGCUGCUAGAUGCGGCUGGCUUGGAGGCAGUCUUUCUCAUGGAGAUCCUUCCAUUUCCAGAGAUUUCUGAGUCAGAUGGUGAGAG